UGGCAUGAACGGGACUGUCUGUAUGAUCUCUAUCUGCCAAUCGACCUCUCUUUCUAAAGCGAGAUCAAGUUGUACUCUACAAUGCUGAUAGAAGGCAGUCUAGAAAAUUGAUCUACGAGACUACGAACUCGUACAAAGAGUGAAACAAAGGAUUUAGGGUUUACUCUCGAUAAUAGCUGUCGUAGCCCGGUUAGCAGUGUACUCUGGUAUUCCAGUUCGGAGCAAGUAUGACUUCAACCUCGACAUUCCUGGAGACGCAAUGGGAAGCCAUAUAAGGAUAAAGGCGGAGAAAAAGCAGCUCUGUGGCAUGCUCAUAUCUUGGAAGGCAUCAAAGGGCGUGCUAACAGCUAUAUCGGCGUGCAUGCUGGAGCUAUUCUUGUGGAGAAUCCAUGUAGCCCUCGGCGUGAUUGGUGUUGUGCUCAUCGAGCUCGGACUCAAAGCGCUCACUCUUUCGCCUUUUUCAUUCAUGGAACUACCUACCCCUUGUGAAGAUGGCCGUCGAUCGCGGAAUAUUAACUUUCCAGCACUCACAGCGUCAGACUAUGGAAUCACUAGGGUCAACGAAGGCGGAUCGAGUCG
rnacentral:sRNA from 1 species